CCUUCCAUCCAAAAGAACUGUGCUUAAAUUACAGACUCCAGAUUUCCUGGUUUAUGUAAUAAUGCUAGCAGAGUGAAACCAUGGAAGAAGACGAAAAUGCUCUGUGCUGAAAAUGAAACGUGGUCGGACCUCUUUCUUAAUGUCCAGUGGCCUUUGUUUCAAGGUUCGGUGCGACAGUG